UGGCCUACGGGAGGCAGCAGUGGGGAAUAUUGCACAAUGGGGGAAACCCUGAUGCAGCGACGCCGCGUGAGUGAAGAAGUAUUUCGGUAUGUAAAGCUCUAUCAGCAGGGAAGAAAAUGACGGUACCUGACUAAGAAGCCCCGGCUAACUACGUGCCAGCAGCCGCGGUAAUACGUAGGGGGCAAGCGUUAUCCGGAUUUACUGGUGGUAAAGGAAGCGUAGACGGCGGAACA
rnacentral:rRNA from 1 species